AUCUAAAGUGCCAAAGGGCUUCUUGAGGUAGAAAAGUAGGUUGAGGUUGAGGUUGAACUUGAGAAGAUGCUAUGGUGGCAGAGGGUGUAUCUUGUGUGGUAAGGAAAUACAGUCCUUCAAAUAAUUCACCCGAACCAAUCAUCUUCAAGCUCCUCUUUUCCUGUAUAACACAUUUACCAUCAUCAAAAGUUACUAAGCAAUUAUUAUCUUUGCAUAAUUCAGGUACAGAUAACAAAUUGAGACUGAAUUCAGGCACAAACAGAACAUUUUUGCCAACAAGUCCUGGUGAAAACUUAACAAUACCAGAAAAUCUUGCUACAACUAAAUGUCCAUUAGGUAAUUUGAUAUUGACAGGUGAUAUAGAGUUAUACGAAUCAUAGAACUUCAGUGAUGAACAUAUGUGGUCACUAGCACCAGAAUCCACAAUCCAAGAACCAAUUUUGGAAUGAUGUAAUGAGUAAGAAAUUCUAGAGAUACCUGAAUUAGUAUGACUUGUAACGUGUGAAACCACCUUACUU
rnacentral:lncRNA from 1 species